GACACAGAGCAAUUUUAAUAGUGUGUUAAUGUAGUUAGUUUAUAUAGGUCUGGUGUCUGUGAGGUGAUGUGAGCUCUCGAGAAUCUUAGGCGGCAAAGAACACCAAGGAGGAGAUAAGAGUGUGCCAUUAACAGGUCCUAUGAAGUGUUCUGUACAUUAUGGAGGUGCUAUUUGAGGUCUGGUGUCUGCGAGGUGAUGUGAGCUCUCGAGAAUCUUAGGCGGGAAAGAACACCAAGGAGGAGAUAAGAUUGUGCCAUUAACAGGUCCUAUGAAGUGUUCUGCACAUUAUGGAGGUGUGAUCUGAGGCCUUGUGGUUAUCUUACAGGUUUUAUUAUGUGUGCUGUGUCUUGUGGGACUGUAACUUGAGGCCUUAUGGGUAGCAGUGGAUGAUGAAAUAGCACUUUGUUUUCUUUACAGUACAGGAAGCAGCUCAAGGGCAGAGCCAAAUGAAAAAAUAGUCUGCUAAUCACUGCUCCAAUAUAAGAAGUAAGCAUAGAUGAGUGCCCAAGAGAGAGGUUGAUUUCAGGAUGCAGUGCUUGGGGAUACAAUGUGAAGACUUCCAGAUUAAAUUGCAACACCCAGCACAUGAACAAAGACUUCCUCAUCUCUUUAACCUCAAUUUCUUACUUCAGAGGCGACGACAAAAUAGUGAUACCAGUGCUGGGGGGUCGUGUGUGACAGGUUAGGUUAGGUUAGGUUAGGUUUAAGACCGGCACCAUACACAUCUUCCCCUACACUAAACACACACACACACACAUACACACAACACAACACACAUACGUACACUACCCCAGAUAAUGCAAGUCCCUUAUUAACACACAUCCCACACAGCACAUGCACCUUCCUAGGCUACAAUUUGACCCUAUCCACCCACGCCAGGCACUCUGAAGGGGUCAACAAUUGGGUCUUGCCAGUAUUAGGGUACAAAACUAUAACACCUUCACUCAAGACCAUUAAUGUGACACUGCAACUGGCACU